rnacentral:piRNA from 1 species
UCAUGGUAAAUGCAUGUCGGUGUUAGC